AACAAUUGAAUAUGGGAUGACAAUUUGCGAUAUCAAAAAAUAAUUGAGACGAGACAAAAAUGAAUGAUUGAGAAGAGAACAAGGGACGAGAUGAAAUGAGAGGAGACGAGGAGAAUGGAAUGGAAUGAUCAUGGCCUAGCUGAUAUAACGAUCGCUUUACCUUUACUUCACUAUCGAAUUCAUUGAUGAUGAUGAUGGUGUAUGACAAAAAUGGAUGAUGGAUGAUUAAGCUAUCGUUAAAUGCAAACAAGCGAUGUGGAACGUAACGCUAAACGAGAAUGUAGAGAGUCGCUAAGAAAAGGAUCGCGUGAAAUAGUGACCGAUUUAACGAGAGAUAGCGAACGAGAAAGGAAAAAGAAAAAGGCACGCGAUGCUAAUGAGUAGCACAGAUUUUGAAAGAAGAAAAGGAAAAAAAAAAUAUCGCAUUCUAUCAAAAAAAAUCGCUUUUCAAAAUUGAAUAGCUUUUUGGAAUGUACUUUUCUGUAUAUAAAUGUUGAAAACAAAUUUUUACUGGGGCUAUGAGCCUUUUACUCCUGUGUCACAAGUCUCAUGGUUCGGUGUUAUAGGGUGCUGGAACGAGUAAGACGAUAAGACGCAAGCCUAGGGAAGAAAGGAAGAAAAAAAAAAGAGCUGCGCAAAAAAAAAAAAAAAAAAGGAAAGGAGUCGCAUGCCAUUGUAGAGAAAGAGAGAAAGAGAAAGAGAAUGUGAGAAAAAGAAAGAAAAGAAAAGGAGAAGGAGAAAAGAAAAGGAAAAAGAGAAAAGAAAAAGAAAAGAAGAAUAACAAGAUCAGAUUAAAACGAAACGAAACAAAACGAGAAAAUAAUCUUUCAUUUGAUGUUUGCGAAUCAUUAGCGUUAAUUAAUUAAUAAGUUGAAUUAGUCGAUACAAUACAAUACAAGGACAAUACUAUACAUGGGACAACAAGACAAAACCCCGAGUCGCCUAAAAUUCCCACUAUAACAAAUGGCUCGCCCAACUUCUCUAUUAGCAAAAGCUGCUUUGACUUUACCGACUAAGCAAAACAUUGACUGACACUCACCUGUACUAUUAUCAAACACCGAAAUAAGGGUACGCACUAGGGAAAGACUCAUGUGAUGGAAAGAAGCAAAGCAAACCACAGUGGCGGAACGGAAGAAAAGUGGAACCUUAGUGAGAGCAGCAACAAAGGAAAAAAAAAGUGGAAAAGAAAAACAAAGUGGGGAAAUUGAAAUGAUUGAGGGGAUUUUUGUGGAGGUUAUUGACCUAUUUGGAGAGGAUUCCCAUGAAAGUGUCCAAAUUGACGUGAAUUCCAUAUUCCGAUAAUAAUUUUCACCAAUGACAUAAAUUUGCGACCAACAGAAUAGAAGCCUGUGCACCUAAAAAAUAGCCUCUCCACCACAAAAUUGGUCAAGAUUUGCGGAGAAGGUGAUGGGAUUGGUGGAUGGGCGAUAUACUGCGGGGUUACACGGUAUUAGGAAGCCUAAAAUGCGAAUUCUCCACACGAUAGAAAAAGAUGAAAAGAGGGGUUGGGGGAGGAUGACGAGGGUGACAGAGAAAACAAAGCCGGUUGAAUGCAAACAUUUGAAAGACAAUGGAUGAGGGUGUCAAGCAUGAAGAAAGAGAGAGAGACGGGUAAAGGAAGAAGAAGCAGAAAAAGGGUAGAGAAGGAAUAAACUAGACGAAAGAAAAGGUUGAGCGGGGAGGAGGAGAGGAGACGAGAGCGAGAGCGAGAGCGAAAAAGAGAAUGUGUGUGAAAGAGAGAUGUGUAUUAUGUGUUUUAUUUUUGUUUAUGUAUGUGUGUAUGGAAAAGGUUUGAUGGGAAUAAAGAUUUAUUUUUUUUUUUCAAUAAAGAAAAGA